rnacentral:rRNA from 1 species
GAUGGACGCUAGCGGCAGGCCUAAUACAUGCAAGUCGAACGGUGUCUUCGGACAUAGUGGCGCACGGGUGCGUAACACGUAUGCAACCUACCUUACAUUGGGGGAUAGCCUUUCGAAAGGGAGAUUAAUACCGCAUAAGACAGUAGCUGGGCAUCCAGCAGCUGUUAAAGAUUUAUCGAUGUAAGCUGGGCAUGCGUCCAAUUAGCUAGUUGGUGAGGUAACGGCUCACCAAGGCAAUGAUUGGUAGGGGAACUGAGAGGCCAAUCCCCCACACUGGCACUGGGAUACGGGCCAGACUCCUACGGGAGGCAGCAGUAGGGAAUAUUGGGCAAUGGACGCAAGUCUGACCCAGCCAUGCCGCGUGCAGGAUGAAGGCGUUAUGCGUUGUAAACUGCUUUUAUACAGGAAGAAACGACUCUUGCGAGAGGCAUUGACGGUACUGUAUGAAUAAGCACCGGCUAACUCCGUGCCAGCCGCCGCCGUAAAAC